rnacentral:rRNA from 1 species
CCGCCCGUCACACCAUGGAAGUUGAUUGCACCAGAAGUGGGUAGCCUAACCNCGGGAAGGAGGGCGCUCACCACGGUGUGCUCAAUGACUGGGUG